CCUGAACUCGAGUAGGGCCCAAGCCAGCCAGGAAGGAGGAGGCAGCCAGAGAGGCCUCCACUGCUCUCUGCAGCAGAAGACCCCCUGCUGCCAGUGAAGCCUUCUCAAGUAUCCUCAUGCUGGAAAACAACUCCAGAAUGCAAGCGAGACUCCUGAGAAGUAUGGAACUGGAUUUUAUGUCACUUUUGGAAGGACCCCAUCUAGAAUUCCAGGGGCCAGGACAUGAUUCAUCACGCUAGUCCUUUGCAGCAAAUAAGCUAGCGAUGCCUUCAAGAUGACACAAUAAAUGUGGCAGAACCUUUCAUGGAAUUCCAGCCCCCUGCAAUCAAAUCAUGCAUGAAACCUCAUCUUCUGCUGGCAGAUAUCUGCCUUACUGUCCACCCAUCAUCAGUCCUUCCCAGGCCUUUGAGGAAUACAAUGAAUAGGGGUCCCCACGACCCCCUUCUCAGGAGGGAUCUGACUGCAGUUUUGGAAAUACCUUCAAGACUUUCAGGCAGUUCACAUGAUAUUAAAACUGGGUAUUAGAACGCCAGACACUACCUAGAACUUGCCAGGAUUUGACCCUCACAACUCGGGCUUCAGAACUCAUAGUGAGCAAAACUGCUGAUCAGAUCUGCACCCACUGCUGAUUUUACCUAGUUGCUAUGGGGACUCUAGAGGCUAAUUACUCAAAAAAUGCUGGUUGAAUGUUUUUCUCCCAAGUAGGUAGAAUGCAUUAGUCCAGGCUGCACUUUGAUUUUGGGGUAAAAUUAGGGAGACUUUUGCAGGCUUCCUGGGGCAAGGACCUCUCUUCUCAUUCUUGGGGAAGCACUUUUACCCAUACUCUACCCAAUCAUUACAAUUCUGGCACUUUUCAAUCACUGCAUAUCAAGGAAGAACACACUUAAGGUGACAGAGGCUGGGGAAAACCCUUUAUUGAUACGAUUCAGAAGAAAUCAUCUCACAUCAAGGCUGUGCUGUGCAAUGUCUUGCUGUAUUAAAAUGAGUCAGAUGACGUUGUGCAAUAUAAGAGGAUUGCAAUGAUCAAAUAAGCCACUGAAAUGUGCAAUACAUUUAACUGAUUUCUUACCAAGCAAAUAAAGCUAGCAGGUGGGGGAAGGAUUCAGUCCCUGGAACUGGAAUCAUCAGUGUCUGUGGGGACAACUGGGAAAUUGACCUCCACCUGCCCUACGAGGGAAAACAAACUAGGAAAAGAGAGUUUCACCCUCGAGCAUCUGCCUAGGAGCAGAUUUCCCAGUGAACCGGAUUAUCUUUGGAUCCGGAAGAAAGGGAGAGUGCGGGACGCAAAGACGGCUGGACCCACAGAGCCAAGGCUAACCCACAAGACUCUCCUCAACACUCUCACCCCUCGUAUCAGCCAACCUGGGACAAGAACAGAUUUUGGGAGAUUUCCAAAGAAGGUGGUUGAUUAGAAAAAUCUUUUCAUUACAUUUAGCCCAUUGUUAUGGGACGGGUGGCAUAACUCUCAUCGGGCAGACAUCUUCCAAGAACAUGGGCUACUCACAGUCACUUGGAGGGAACACUCUGUUGCUCCUCCUCGCCCCUCCUGCCUGCCGCUUCCCACCACCACUGCCAUUGCUCCUCACCCUCCACAUAGUGCUAAUUCUCUCACCGACUCAUCCGCCACUGCUUUGCCCUCCCCGCCUGCCAUGGCUUUUGCCACCCCUGCCUUGCUGCCCACGGCUGCCCCUCUGGCCAGCCUGCUUGCAAAGCAGUAAGGGGUGGAGCGGCCUCUUUGCUCACCUGAGCGGGGAAAGAGGCCAUUCAGCCCCUUCUUGUCAUGCAAGCUGGCUGGCCAGUGGGGCGGUAGGAGCAAGAAGGGCAGCAAGAGAGGGUGGCCAGACGAAUGAACUAGAGGGAGGAGGAGGAGGAGAAUGGAAAGGGGCAAGGAGCUGUUGCUGGGUGUGUGCUCUGUGUUGGGGGUAGUGGUGGCUGUCCACAAGGAAUAAAGUGUAAAAUAUUUUCAUGGCACCAGAGGGGCAGCUAAAAAGGGUGGCCAAGGUUCAUUAUUGAACAAAGGACCCUCUAACCUCGUUACGGCAGUGACUGCACUUGGGGUAAGGAGAGGGUUAACUGGCAGAGUGCUGACCUAAUUUACUUAUGUUUUGGUUUGUUUAUUGUGUGAAAAGGUGUGGUGCCCAACACAGUUCUGAUGACUGUUGCGGUGGCCAGUGGCUGAAAUAAAUAUCAAAACCAUAAUCUAUACCUGUGAAUCUGAAAGAAAGGCAGCCCUCAGCAAAUCCCACCGAGCUCCAGGAACAACUCACAAGAGAUGGCCUUGUGUGAAUCUGUUACAGCAAAACCAACAGAGAAACUGGUGGCAUCUCAAAGCCCAGGAGGAAAUCUUCUAAAUGUGGCAAUGUGAACAAACAAAGCAACAACAGCAACUGUCCUAAUCCUAAUGGAGAAAGAGGGGCAGGAGCAGUCCUCAGGUUAGGAGAACAGUGAGGAGGGUGAGGGGAAAUAUGUGUGGUGCUAACGUGUGAUGCAGUUGGGGUUUUUCCCCUGAGUCCCAGCCUGUUUUCUGCCCACCCGCCUGCAUGGUCCUCUGGUCUCCUUCCCCCUCCCCCACCCACAUGGUCCCUAGCCCAGUCCCCUGUUGUUUGCCUCUUUUAAGCUAACGUGCAAUGCAGUUGGGGGUUUUUCCCCUCCCAGCCUGUUUUCUGCCCACCCGCCUGCAUUUACCAUUGCUAAUUUUUUUGGACUGUUACUUUUUUGGACCAUAAAAUGCAGUAGUGUGUUUGUUUUGCUGACACAGCAGUGAAAAACACUGGUCUGUAUGCCUUUUUAUUUGUUUAAUUUGAAUGGGAAUGGAAUUUGAUUGUCUUUGCUUCUUACCACCAUUUACUUCACUUUGUGCAGAAAAAAAUGUCAGGUAAAUUGAAUGUACCUGCUAGUCCAAUAAUAAAAAAGCAUAAGCAGUAUCAAACCCCCUUUGAGCAAUUUAAUGAAUAUAUCAAAUACCUUAUUCUUCCCAGCUAAAAGAAAUCCUAUUCAUUCAUUCAUUCAUUCAUUUACCAACCCCUCCCUCUCUCAGCCAACUAGCACAUUUCAGUGCUAAUAUUUACAGCCACUGAUUGCUGUGUGGUUUAUGGAAAGCAUACUGCUGGAAUAUCUUUGGUUUGGCUUUGGUUUGGUAGUGGUCUGCAAAGGAGAGAGUAUAGGAAAUGGACUGGUAUGUAAUAUUCUGGAUCAAUGGAGGCAGGACUCUUUUCCACCCCCAGUCCUUGUUCUAUUACAUAUUUCAUAAAUGAGAUCCUUUGUGCAGUGUUCCCUGUAAGAGGAAUUCCCAGAUGUUGUUGACUACAACUCCCAGCAAUCCCAGCCACAAUGACCUUUGGCUGAGGAUUCUGGGAGUUGUAGUCAACCAACUACAACUCUGUGUGCUGGACAUAGCUUCCUCACAGUUGAAACUACGUUUUGAGGGCCUACAUGAAGUCGUCACUACCUUCAAUGCCCUUCACCCAUCAACACUGGCAACAGCAACUGAUGAGGACUUACUUGAAGCAGGAGAACUUAUGGUCACAAAAUAUGACACAGAGUUGACUACCUCUUUUCCAAGACACUUAAUACAGUUCAGAGAUUUAUUGAAAGAAGGAAUUAAAAAAACAACAACUAUAAAGGAAGUUGCUGAACUGCUGAUGAUUGACAAUUGUGGCCUUUGCAUCAGUUACCCUGAUGUUUGCACUGCAUAUAUGCUUUUCCUCACUCUACCAGUAACAGUGGCAUCUUCUGAGAGAUCAUUCUCAAAACUGAAGCUCAUAAAAAACUAUCUGAGGAGUUCCAUGUCUCAGGAAAGACUCAGUGGCCUUGCUCUGCUAUCUAUUGAAAAUGAAAGAGCAAAGAAACUGGAUAUACAAAAGAUCAUAGACAACUUUGCUGAAGUGAAAUCAUGAAAGAAGCCAAUGCAUUAAGUACUGGAUGUCUUGGUUAGGAUAUCUGCAAUGUUAUGCUCUUGAUUGAUACAGUUGGAAUAGUUGGUUCUGUCAUUCAUACCCUUAAACUUUUGUUGGCAUGUGUGCAAUGUUUACUGUUCUUAAAUUGAUACUGUUUUUAGUUGGGUCUGUUACACACACUUUUGUAACUUUUAAAACUUUUGUUGGGAUGUGUGCAAUGAUUACUGUGCUUCAUUGGAUACUAUUUUAAGUUGGAUAUGUUAUGCACACCUUGUAACUGGAAUAUGUGCAAUGAUUAAAGUUCUUGUUCUUUUGUUGUA